CAACCGAGUACUUGACGCAUUCUAAUUGUUAGCACACGAACGUUAGCAUUAAGGUUCAGCUUGCGCAUUUCAGUGGCUUUGGCAUUUAAGUAUCCCCACGCAAUUUCUCCCAAAAUUGCAUUAUAAAAUGUUUUUGUGUCGUGUUUUUUAUUUUGUCUUCAGAAUAUGUUGCAGGUGUCACACAUGGACUUGGACUUGUUUUGCUUCUUGUACGCAAAGGAUGAUUUCCACGAGCCAGACGUAAAUGUGACAAAGAUGGCUGAUAGGUGACAGUAGUGGCUGCUUGUUCCAGCUGUGAGAGAAGAUCUUGUCCUCCAUCAGGAACAGCGUGGCUACGUUUCCAAGUCGUGUUGCCGCACCGGGAUCGAACCGCUGACCUUUUUGGCUCACAGCCCUGAGUAAGACUGUCACAUUGUGUUAAUGUGACGCCCAAACAAGACAUCUUAUCCCUCUUUUGGAGACGCUUCUGCCCUUUUUUGUAUCGUUCUCAGGCAGGGCUGUGCAAAGCUUCUCCAGCGAGUGAGUACUGCACACAGGAAAGUUGAAGGAUGCUUUUCGAGACUGGAUUAUUUUUGCUUUGUACGUCAAUGUUGUAGAUUUGCUUGCUUUGCGCCCGUUUUUCAUUUGUGCACUUUUUUGUUUUUGAGGUACCUGCAUUUCCCUAUUUUCGAGAGCUUCUAUUCUACACCUGCCUGCCAUCACAGCACCAAAAUGCAUCGAAAACAAUACAAUGUAGAAUAAUCAUAGUUUAGUAUUCAUAGUACCGUAUUUCCUUGAAUUAGUGCCGGGGCGGUAAUUAUUUUAAAACCUCUUCUCACUCCGGCGUUUACCAAAAGGCAUGUGGUAAAUUUAGGCCUGCGCUUAUACAUUUGAGUGUGAUGUAAGGAUACCAUCAUGAAAAGCACAUUUGAUAAAAAACAAAAACAUUAUGUAGCAUAAAAACAGCAGAUGGCCUUAAAACGCCACAACACUCAGUCACCGUAUGUAAGUACCCAAAAUAAAGACUCGACAUAAAUAUAAAUAUAAUCGGAGCAGAAACAUCGGAGGAAACGGGAUUAAAACCCGAUGCUAACCGCCCAUAGAAAAUACAUGGGUACGGCUAGUAGCUACUAUUAGCAAACAAAUUCACUUACCCAUCCAUCCAUCCAUUUUCUACCACUUAUUCCCUUUUGGGGUUGCGGGGGGCGCUGGCGCCUAUCUCAGCUACAAUCGGGCGGAAGGCGGGGUACACCCUGGACAAGUUCCCUACUCAUCGCAGGGCCAACACAGAUAGACAGACAACAUUCACACACUAGGGACCAUUUAGUGUUGCCAAUCAACCUAUCCCCAGGUGCAUGUUUUUGGAAGUGGGAGGAAGCCGGAGUACCCGGAGGGAACCCACGCAUUCACGGGGAGAACAUGCAAACUCCACACAGAAAGAUCCCGAGCCUGGAUUUGAACCCAGGACUGCUGGAACUUCGUAUUGUGAGGCAGACGCACUAACCCCUCUGCCACCGUGAAGCCCCAAAUUCACUUACCCACUCGGCUUAAUAUCUUAACAUCGCCACACUCUCUCGUCGCAACUCAGCCCUGAUGGUCGGCACCUAUAAGUUUACAAUUAGUUGUAAAAUGUUGGACGUUUUUUUUUACGAUACGCAGGCAAACGACAACUUUAAAACAUACCGGUGUCAGAUGUCCCCAGACUUAGCCACCGCACCUGGCAGCCAUCUUGGAACGCUGGAUUAUAUACAGCGUGAUAGGCUCCAGCGGGUCCUGUGAGCGCCUGUGUUAAACUCGCGAGAUUAAACGUGGAAACGGCGCAGGUAAUAUGAGGAGAUGCCAUGAGAGGAAAUAUGGCUUAUUUCCCACCUGUGUUACACACUCGUGACGUGACGAGUUUGACCCGGUGGUAAAACGAGGCUUGCGCUAAUUAUUUUGCUAAACAAGUUUGACCCGGCAGUAAUUCCAAGCAUGCGCUAAUUCCAAGCAUGCGCUAAUUAUUUUGCAAAACGAGUUUGACCCGGCGGUAAAACGAGGCAUGCGGAUAAUAUAUACCCGGCGGCAAUUCAAGGAAAUACGGUAUUCUAAUUAUUAUUCCGAUUUGUUUUACCUAUCAAUCAAUCAAUGUUUUUACUUAU